AAGAAGACAUAGCGAUGGCGGAAGUUGUCCGGCCUCCAAUGGCGAUAUAUUUACCGGCCUCACCGACCACUGCCUCCGUUUCCUCUUCCAUGUGAGAGCUCUCUCUUCAGACGCCCGCAGGACUCUUCGGCGUCCCUCAUCUUCUUCUCCCAGUCCACGCGGAGCCGCUCGAUCUCCUUCCUCAGGUUUCUCUUGGCCUCCACAGCCUCGCGGAGUCGGCCUUUUUUAGCCACACGCACAAACUCCAGUUCCUAGAGAGACAAGACGAUAUUUCAGGCAGAAGCGCCAGACGACCUACAGACUAGGUUGGGGAUUGUAGCUUGUCAAAUCUGGAGCGUUUGGCAGCGACUGGACUCGGAGACUGAGGAAACAAGACACGAAAAAAACAUUAGACGCUUGGAUGUAUUUGAAACCUCCCACCACCAGGUGGCAGUGCUUCUGCUUCAGGCUCAAACAAGCAGAGCUCAGGAUUAUUGGUUAGAAUCCUGGGAUGAUCCCAUGAAUCCGUCAAGGGACCUGGACUAACAACCCUAACCCUCUUUUGAGAACAGCACCACACGAGAGGUCGAGGUCCAGUAAGAACAGUAAGAACACUGUUGCAAACACAACGUCCAGUGAUGCUAGUGAGUUGGCCGCCAUAGCGGCAGCUCUUCCUUCAGAAUGUUUUUGAGAGCUGGACCAGCUAAGUGGAGCAGAUAUGACUGUAAUGUUGUGCAACAACUUUCCUAUGAAUAAAUUCUUCAUUUUGGAUCCGGUUUUUAACAAGGAGCAUACCAUUAUAGCUACCUGCGGUUGACUGAAAUGCACAUGUCAUGACAGUGACAUGAGAAUUCUAGCAGCAGAACUGCCUCUGAAGCGUUUUCCACUUCCUCCAUAUUUGAUGCUUACAUGCUCACUGUGACCGAAAUACGCGUCCGCGAUGCGGAUGCUGUCUAAAACCCAUCCACCAGAACCAGCCGCGUCUCUCUUUCAGGUUGAUCAGAUAUGGGAUUUGCUUUC